rnacentral:rRNA from 1 species
CCUACGGGUGGCAGCAGUGGGGAAUUUUGCGCAAUGCUCGUAAGAGUGACGCAGCGACGCCGCGUGAAUGACGAAGGCCUUCGGGUCGUAAAGUUCUUUCGACAGGGAAGAAAAUGCCUAUAAGUAACUGUGUAUGUAUUGACGGUACCUGUAUAAGCAGCCCCGGCUAACUCCGUGCCAGCAGCCGCGGUAAUACGGAGGGGGCGAGCGUUAUCCGGAGUGACUGGGUGUAAAGAGUUGCGUAGGUGGCAUAAUAAGUAGCUAGUGAAAUCUGGUGGCUCAACCAUUCAGACUAUUAGCUAAACUGUUAAGCUCGAGACCGUUAGGGGUAACUGGAAUUUCUAGUGUAGGAGUGAAAUCCGUAGAUAUUAGAAAGAACACCGAUAGCGUAGGCAGGUUACUGGGACGGUUCUGACACUAAGGCACGAAAGCGUAGGGAGCAAACGGGAUUAGAUACCCCUAGUAGUC